AUUGAACGCUGGCGGCAGGCCUAACACAUGCAAGUCGAGCGAGAGGCGGACGGGUGAGUAAUGUCUGGGAAACUGCCUGCUGUUGGGGGAUAACUACUGGAACCGGUAGCUAAUACCGCAUACCAUCAGAUGUGCCCAGAUGGGAUUAGCUAGUAGGUGGGGUAACGGCGCACCAAGGCGACGAUCCCUCGCUGGUCUGUGAGGAUGACCAGCCAGACCGGAACUGAGACACGGUCCGGACUCCUACGGGAGGCAGCAGUGGGGAAUAUUGCACAAUGGGAGCAAGCCUGAUGCAGCCAUGCCGCGUGUGUGAAGAAGGCCUUCGGGUUGUAAAGCAAUUUCAGCGGGGAGGCGUUACCCGCAGAAGAAGCACCGGCUAACUCCGUGCCAGCAGCCGCGGUAAUUC
rnacentral:rRNA from 1 species